GGUUAAGCGACUAAGCGUACACGGUGGAUGCCCUGGCAGUCAGAGGCGAUGAAGGGCGUGCUAAUCUGCGAUAAGCGCCGGUAAGGUGAUAUGAACCGUUAUAACCGGCGAUACCCGAAUGGGGAAACCCAGUGUGACUCGUCACACUAUCAUUAACUGAAUCCAUAGGUUAAUGAGGCGAACCGGGGGAACUGAAACAUCUAAGUACCCCGAGGAAAAGAAAUCAACCGAGAUUCCCCCAGUAGCGGCGAGCGAACGGGGAGGAGCCCAGAGCCUGAAUCAGCAUGUGUGUUAGUGGAAGCGUCUGGAAAGGCGCGCGAUACAGGGUGACAGCCCCGUACACAAAAGCGCAUGUGCUGUGAGCUCGAUGAGUAGGGCGGGACACGUGGUAUCCUGUCUGAAUAUGGGGGGACCAUCCUCCAAGGCUAAAUACUCCUGACUGACCGAUAGUGAACCAGUACCGUGAGGGAAAGGCGAAAAGAACCCCGGCGAGGGGAGUGAAAAAGAACCUGAAACCGUGUACGUACAAGCAGUGGGAGCACAGGUUUACCUGUGUGACUGCGUACCUUUUGUAUAAUGGGUCAGCGACUUAUAUUCUGUAGCAAGGUUAACCGUAUAGGGGAGCCGUAGGGAAACCGAGUCUUAACCGGGCGUUAAGUUGCAGGGUAUAGACCCGAAACCCGGUGAUCUAGCCAUGGGCAGGUUGAAGGUUGGGUAACACUAACUGGAGGACCGAACCGACUAAUGUUGAAAAAUUAGCGGAUGACCUGUGGCUGGGGGUGAAAGGCCAAUCAAACCGGGAGAUAGCUGGUUCUCCCCGAAAGCUAUUUAGGUAGCGCCUCGUGAAUUCAUCUCCGGGGGUAGAGCACUGUUUCGGCUAGGGGGCCAUCCCGGCUUACCAACCCGAUGCAAACUGCGAAUACCGGAGAAUGUUAUCACGGGAGACACACGGCGGGUGCUAACGUCCGUCGUGAAGAGGGAAACAACCCAGACCGCCAGCUAAGGUCCCAAAGUCAUGGUUAAGUGGGAAACGAUGUGGGAAGGCCCAGACAGCCAGGAUGUUGGCUUAGAAGCAGCCAUCAUUUAAAGAAAGCGUAAUAGCUCACUGGUCGAGUCGGCCUGCGCGGAAGAUGUAACGGGGCUAAACCAUGCACCGAAGCUGCGGCAGCGACGCUGAUGCGUUGUUGGGUAGGGGAGCGUUCUGUAAGCCUGUGAAGGUGGCCUGUGAGGGUUGCUGGAGGUAUCAGAAGUGCGAAUGCUGACAUAAGUAACGAUAAAGCGGGUGAAAAGCCCGCUCGCCGGAAGACCAAGGGUUCCUGUCCAACGUUAAUCGGGGCAGGGUGAGUCGACCCCUAAGGCGAGGCCGAAAGGCGUAGUCGAUGGGAAACGGGUUAAUAUUCCCGUACUUGGUGUUACUGCGAAGGGGGGACGGAGAAGGCUAUGUUGGCCGGGCGACGGUUGUCCCGGUUUAAGCGUGUAGGUGUGUGUUCCAGGUAAAUCCGGUUCACUUUAACACUGAGGCGUGAUGACGAGGCACUACGGUGCUGAAGCAACAAAUGCCCUGCUUCCAGGAAAAGCCUCUAAGCAUCAGGUAACAUCAAAUCGUACCCCAAACCGACACAGGUGGUCAGGUAGAGAAUACCAAGGCGCUUGAGAGAACUCGGGUGAAGGAACUAGGCAAAAUGGUGCCGUAACUUCGGGAGAAGGCACGCUGACACGUAGGUGAAGUGAUUUACUCAUGGAGCUGAAGUCAGUCGAAGAUACCAGCUGGCUGCAACUGUUUAUUAAAAACACAGCACUGUGCAAACACGAAAGUGGACGUAUACGGUGUGACGCCUGCCCGGUGCCGGAAGGUUAAUUGAUGGGGUCAGCGCAAGCGAAGCUCCUGAUCGAAGCCCCGGUAAACGGCGGCCGUAACUAUAACGGUCCUAAGGUAGCGAAAUUCCUUGUCGGGUAAGUUCCGACCUGCACGAAUGGCGUAAUGAUGGCCAGGCUGUCUCCACCCGAGACUCAGUGAAAUUGAACUCGCUGUGAAGAUGCAGUGUACCCGCGGCAAGACGGAAAGACCCCGUGAACCUUUACUAUAGCUUGACACUGAACAUUGAGCCUUGAUGUGUAGGAUAGGUGGGAGGCUUUGAAGCGUGGACGCCAGUCUGCAUGGAGCCGGCCUUGAAAUACCACCCUUUAAUGUUUGAUGUUCUAACGUGGACCCGUGAUCCGGGUUGCGGACAGUGUCUGGUGGGUAGUUUGACUGGGGCGGUCUCCUCCUAAAGAGUAACGGAGGAGCACGAAGGUUGGCUAAUCCUGGUCGGACAUCAGGAGGUUAGUGCAAUGGCAUAAGCCAGCUUGACUGCGAGCGUGACGGCGCGAGCAGGUGCGAAAGCAGGUCAUAGUGAUCCGGUGGUUCUGAAUGGAAGGGCCAUCGCUCAACGGAUAAAAGGUACUCCGGGGAUAACAGGCUGAUACCGCCCAAGAGUUCAUAUCGACGGCGGUGUUUGGCACCUCGAUGUCGGCUCAUCACAUCCUGGGGGCUGAAGUAGGUCCCAAGGGUAUGGCUGUUCGCCAUUUAAAGUGGUACGCGAGCUGGGUUUAGAACGUCGUGAGACAGUUCGGUCCCUAUCUGCCGUGGGCGCUGGAGAACUGAGGGGGGCUGCUCCUAGUACGAGAGGACCGGAGUGGACGCAUCACUGGUGUUCGGGUUGUCAUGCCAAUGGCACUGCCCGGUAGCUAAAUGCGGAAGAGAUAAGUGCUGAAAGCAUCUAAGCACGAAACUUGCCCCGAGAUGAGUUCUCCCUGAGACUUAGAGUCUCCUGAAGGAACGUUGAAGACGACGACGUUGAUAGGCCGGGUGUGUAAGCGCAGCGAUGCGUUGAGCUAACCGGUACUAAUGAACCGUGAGGCUUAACCUU
rnacentral:rRNA from 2 species